GGGGAUGUAGCUCAGUGGAAGAGUGCCCGCUUUGCAUGAGGGAGGUCCUGGGUUCAAUCCCCAGCAUCUCCA